rnacentral:rRNA from 1 species
AUUGAACGCUGGCGGCAGGCUUAACACAUGCAAGUCGAACGAGUGGCGGACGGGUGAGUAAUGUUUGGGAAUCUCCCUGAUGGAGGGGGAUAACUACGGGAAACGGUAGCUAAUACCGCUUACCAUGGGGUGUGCCCAAGUGGGCUUAGGUAGUUGGUGGGGUAACGGCUCACCAAGGCGACGAUCCCUAGCUGGUCUGAGAGGAUGACCAGCCACACUGGAACUGAGACACGGCCCAGACUCCUACGGGAGGCAGCAGUGGGGAAUAUUGCACAAUGGGCGCAAGCCUGAUGCAGCCAUGCCGCGUGAAUGAAGAAGGCCUUCGGGUUGUAAAGUACUUUCAGUGGGGAGGCGUUACCUACAGAAGAAGCACCGGCUAACUCCGUGCCAGCAGCCGCGGUAAUUC